rnacentral:lncRNA from 10 species
CUUUCUUUUUCUUUCUUUCUUUCUUUCUUUCUGAGACAGAGUCUCACUCUGUCACCCAGGCUGGAGUGCAGUGGCGUAAUCUCGGCUCACUACAACCUCUGCCUCCCAGGUUCAAGCGAUUCUCCUGCCUCAGCAUCCCACGUAGCUGGGAUUACAGCCACGCACCACCAUGCCCGGCUAAUUUUUGUAUUUUUAGUAGAGACAGGGUUUUACCACGUUGUCCAGGCUGCUCUCAAACUCCUGACCUCAGGUGAUCCACCCACCUUGGCCUCCCAAAGUGCUGGGAUUACAGGUGUGAGCCACCGCGCCUGGCUCCAGGCUGGUCUUGAACUCCCAAGCUCAAGUGAUCCUCCUGCCUUGGCCUCUCAAAGUGCUAGGAUUAUAGGCAUGAACCUCUGUGUUCAGCCUUAGCUGUCUUUUUACUACCAUCCCCAGCCUCUGCUUAUCAGUUGUGAGUUUCCUCUGGCCUUUCUAAUUCUCUUUCUCCAUGUUUUCUGCCAGCUCCUUUAUAUUACCCACCAGAGGGAUGAAAGCGAUUGAUUCUACCAGAAGCUAUUGAGAAAUGUAUAUGGCUUUUAGUAGUGGUGAUGAUGAUGAUGAUGACGAUUGUUUUGGCACUUUCAGAAUUCAGAAGCAAUUUGCUGCCUCCUGGGCACUCUACUCAUGACCAGUUAACUUUAAAGUGGUCCUAUUUGCUUUGUGGUGGUCGGGGCUGGCUUAGCAAAAAUUACAAAGGAAUAAAAAGCUAAAUUUAGUAAGUCUAUCUCUACUAUGUUGUGUCUAAUCUUCUUGUGCUGGUUUCCUAGAGUGCCCUCUGCUGGGCCCAACCAGGUCUUCUGAUUCCCAUGAAACCCAUGCCUCAAUUGUCAUCAAAAGCUUACUAUUUUAUGUCACAUGCCAUCAGAAUCCUAGCAUUUGCUUUCCAGAUUGACAAUUAACCAAGGUAAACUAAUCCAUGUUAAUGUGUGAAUGUGUUUUAUUGUAUAAAUGGGAAAAAACCCAAUGCCCCUCUCAGGUCAUUUAAGUAUACAUUUCCGCAAUGACUUUAUGGACGUACUGCUUCUACUUAGUAUCUAACUCUGGUGACUAAUGGUGAGAAUGGAAGCCAGGAAUCUGGGGAAGGCUAUGCUCUGAGAAAUCAAAGGGGAAUAUGUUUUCCAACAGACAGAACCUUGUGGCUCCCCUCAAAUUACACUGUGUGGGCAGCUGUCUACUCAAGCUAUCUGUAUGGCCAAGCCCCAUGGAGGUAAUUUUCACCCUGUCAGCCAGAAAAGAAUGAACAUCAUUGUUUACUUUUAAGUUUUUAUGAAGAAUGCCUUGAGCUCUUUAGAUUGUGUUAUCUAAGUCUUAAUACUAAGUAAGUAUGUGCCAUUGUUUUGGGGAUUAAUUUAUCCAUAAAGAUGUGUAUAGGCUGUACAGUCAUUGGCUUGACCUCUGCUGCCCUGUGUACUUUCUUGUCUACUGAAAUCAGUUGGGCAAUUCUUGUCUGUAAGCACGUUUCCCAAGAACUGGUUGGAGCCAGUCUUCAUAGGAGGAACCUAUUAUGAAACCAGCUCCGAGGAUAUUUACUUUGCUCAAGAUCUACUGAAUGCUACACUUACUUGAAAAUGAAAUUGCUUUCUUUUGGCUCUGACCCAACCCCUUGAAAACCAGCGACCCUUGGGAUUCAGUUAGAAUGAGAUAGAAAGGGGAGAUGAUAUGCUGGGCCUGACUGACAUUUUUCUGCAAGCUUUUCUUAUCGUUUAAACUAGUACUUGCAUAGUUGUUGAAUGUGUGUGUUUCAAGAAGAUCAGCUAAACUGAUAACAUAUUAUCAAGUAAAUAAGGCACCCAAGAUUGGGAACUUGGAGGACAUAGCACAUAUUUUUUGAAGGCCCACCUUUUUUCUUAAAAUUUAAUGUAAAUUUGUAUCUUUCUAUUUAACAUAUCCAGGUCUUAUUUAAGACAAAAAUAACUCAUAUAGUUGCUUUCCAGUUAAGUUAUUUAAUCAUCCAAAUCCUCACUUAAAUAAAUGCUCCAGUGAGAAACAUUGUCUUAUGGCUCCUGAUCUAAAAUUAUACCUCCCUGGAAAUGUAUGUAUCCAAAUUUGAGAAGCACAAGCUUGGAGAAAUAGUGAAGGAGAGAAUUUAGUCAGAGAAAAUGAGUGUGUACUGAUGAUCAAUCCGUAGGUAAGGAGGACUAGCGUAAGUUUUGUUGUAGAUGACUUUCAUAGGAGAGUGGCAGUGGCAUUUGAUGUUGAGACCUAGUACAUAGUUGUAUUGAGAUAAACAUGUUAGGAUUAUCUAGAUAGAGCUAGAAAUGAAGAGAAAAUAAACUCAGAAUAGGGACUCAUCAAGAUGGCUGUGAAAAAGCCAGAAAUGUGAUAAACACUAAUGCAGAUUUCUUGGGCUCCUUACAGACUUAAUAGGAAUUGUGGAUGCACAAAGUAAAUGGUAUGGCAUGUAAAUAAAGAAGAAAAUUCUGCAUAUUACUUUUGGCAUAAUAGCAACUUCUCUGUACUUUCUGAAAUUCAAAAAUAAUGAGAUUUUCAAACCAGUCCCUA